CCUUAUAAUAAGCUGUGGCUCACCUUGUUGUCACGUGAUGAGUAGAUUGACAAAAUAGAGGUGUAUAGGUUCAUUUGUACUUUUAAAACGUUUUCUUUAAAGGCUUCUGGUUGUUUUGUUGUUGUGUGUCAACAGGCGGUAUACAGAGACUUGCAGAACAUCACGCAGCAGGUAAACUGCUUAUUACCAUUUGUCCCUCUGAGGAAGCUGACAGAAACCUUAAAUGGAGAAACAGUCUUGAGGGAUGUCAGCCUGUACAGAGACAUACGCUGGUCGCCACAGCAGGCUCAGCUUCUGUUCAGAAAGAUCCACACAUUUAAAAACAUUACCAGCAGGACUGUGAGGGAUCUGGGUCGUAUUGCCAGUGGAACGAGUUGUGAGUUUUUGCGGCUUUGGAGCAACAAUACAGAUUUUGCAGAGCUGCUUCAGUUUGUCAGUGAGCUGCCUGGAGGACUGAGACCUGCUCUGGUGAGGAACAAAUACUUGAGCACUUCUCAAUCACAAGUCUCUGACACGUUGCCAUGAUUCAUUAGUUUGUUGUUGUUAUAUUUCAAAAUGA
rnacentral:lncRNA from 1 species